rnacentral:misc_RNA from 1 species
GAGCCGUUGCCCUCGAACAAGUGACAGAAGUGCUUGACAAGCACGCCCCCUCCCAUCCACAUCAUUUUUUCUAUACCGGCUUUUCUUCUAGCUCGCGUACGUAUUGAUAUGGAAAGCGAUGAUCCCUGAACAGAUGGCAGAGCCACUCGUUAUUGGUCUGGAUUACGGGUCCGAUUCCGCGCGAGCGGUGCUGGUGCGCGUGCGGGAUGGGGCGGAGCUGCAGAGCGCCGUCUUCAGCUACCCGCGCUGGAACAAGGGGGAGUACUGCAACCCCAAGCUGAUGCAGUACCGCCAGCAUCCGUGCGACUACAUGGAAGCGGCAGAGAAUGUCAUCACUAGGGUGCUGAAGGCAGCUGGCCCAGCGGCGCGGGACAACUUGGUUGGGCUCGCCUUCGAUACGACCGGUAGCACACCGUGCAUGGUCGACGAGACCUGCACACCGCUCGCCCUUCGCCCCUCGUUUGCCAAUAACCCGAACGCUAUGUUUAUUCUCUGGAAAGACCACACCUCUGUAAAGGAGGCCGCUGCAAUCAAUGCGUUGGCACACAGAAGCACCCCCGACUACACUUCCUUCUGCGGAGGCACCUACUCCUCCGAGUGGUUCUGGUCGAAGGCGCUGCACGUGAUCCGCAGCGACGAGAAGGUGUCUCAGGCCGCGUACGGCAUUGUAGAGUGCAGCGAGUGGCUUCCAGCCCUCUUCACCGGUGUCACAUCGUAUCAGAAGCUCAUUCGUUCCCGGUGCGCAUGCGGGCACAAGGCAAUGUGGCACGAGAGCUGGGGCGGCUUCCCGCCACGCAGCUUCUUUGACCAGUUGCACCCGCGCUUGGGGCUCUUGCGGUCCCGCAUGAGCGACGCCACAGAGACCAUCGACAAGCCGGUGGGUACACUGAGCGAGGAGUGGGCGCUGCGUCUUGGAUUGAGCACGAGGGUGGUCGUGGCGUGCGGCGCCAUCGAUGCUCACCUCGGCGCCGUUGGUGCCGGCAUCAAGCCUUACUCCUUUGUGCGUGUCAUGGGAACGUCGACCUGUGACAUGAUGGUGAUCGACUCCAGCAUUCUCGGCCACCGCCGCGUAAAGGGAAUUUGUGGGCAGGUCAACGGCUCUAUCGUGCCACAUAUGAUUGGCCUCGAGGCUGGUCAGUCCGCGUACGGCGACGUCUUCGCGUGGUUCUCUGAAUUUCUCCAGUACUCCUCUGUACGACUCAUAGCCAGCACGACGCUGCUCGGCGAGAACGCCAAGGCAGAGCUGAAGCGUGAGAUAAAGAGGAAGAUGCUCAUCACCCUCACCGAAGAUGCCAGUCGGAUUCGUCCCGGCGAGAGCAGCGUGCACGCCCUGGACUGGUUCAACGGACGGCGCACCCCUGAUGCCAACCAGAACCUCAAAUCGGUCAUCGGAGGCCUUACCCUCGGUAGCGACGCGGCAAGUGUAUAUCGCGCGCUGGUGGAGGCGACGGCGUACGGGUCGCGCGCCAUCGUGGAGCGCUUUCGACGAGAGGGUGUCCGCAUUGACAGCGUCAUUGCAGUUGGUGGCAUCGCUAAGAAGUCGCCGCUGGCCAUUCAGAUCCUUUCGGACGUGCUGAACAUGCCUAUUACCGUGUGUAAAAGCGAGCAAGUCUGUGCGUUGGGAUCUGCUAUUGCCGCUGCAACGGCUGCGGCGUGUUACGAGAGCAUCCCUGAGGCGCAGGAAAAGAUGGCGAGCGGCUCUUCUACCGCGUACAAGCCGUGCCCAGAGGCUGCUCGGGUGUACGAUGAGCUAUACAAGCGUUACAUCGAGCUUGCUGCGAGCACUGAACAAAUGUAUUCGCACAUGUAGGCAUAAAAGUGUUCGCAGUGAACACCUGCGCGCAUGUCUUGGAGGGUGCCACUGCCUGUAUCUCUAGCUUUUUUUGUUGUUGUUGAUGGUUUCCAAGUCCUCGAGACCUUGUGCGAUGCCGUCGCAUCUCUUGUGCACCUGACAAGUUAGCGCAACGCCUAGCCCCUUUUCAAAGCAGCUCAGCAUCUCUUUCACGUUUUUUCCCCGUUCCUUGUACUGUGUGCCUCCAUUUUGGCGUUGGGUAGGAAGUGAGCAGAAGGGGACGGCGGUAGCAAUGCCGUCCUCUUUUCUUUGCCUGCUUCCGUCUUUCGCGUUUCACCAAAUGCGUAGAUGGGUGCGACCGAGUAUGGUAUCGCAAAGAGGACUUGGGAGUGGAGGCCGAGGCUACUUUCGACCCUCGAGCGAGGUGACAAAAGCGAGAGAGUGCACCAAGAGAAGAAAAGAUGCACGCACACACAUACUCACCGCAACGCUGUUGCAGACAGUCAAGGCAGAACAACCUGUGAGCACCAAAUUGAAAAACGAUUUUCUUUUCUCCUUUUUUUUAAUGCGUUCCUAAAGACGAUCUCACUCACAAACAAAAACGACGAACGGGGGCCAGGCUCAAGAGCUGCUCCUUUCAGCGGCCAGGAGAAGGACAGCUUUCAGUGCAUGUGAAGGCGACACGCACCUACUGUCUGACACUUCUUGCUUCCCAACUGUAUGCACCAAGCGUUUUUUUUUCUCUUGUUAGCGUUAACAAAUGUCAGUGGUGCCAUCAUUACUCCACCGAAAGGAAGGCCGCAGCUUCCGAUAUUCUUCCUGAUGCAGUUGUACACCGUUUUUUUUUUGUUACGAUCCCUUUUCCCAAAGGUCACUG